UACGUAGGUGGCAAGCGUUGUCCGGAAUUAUUGGGCGUAAAGCGCGCGCAGGCGGUUCUUUAAGUCUGAUGUGAAAGCCCACGGCUCAACCGUGGAGGGUCAUUGGAAACUGGAGAACUUGAGUACAGAAGAGGAAAGCGGAAUUCCACGUGUAGCGGUGAAAUACGUAGAGAUGUGGAGGAACACCAGUGGCGAAGGCGGCUUUCUGGUCUGUAACUGACGCUGAGGCGCGAAAGCGUGGGGAGCAAACAGG
rnacentral:rRNA from 1 species